GCCUGAAUGGAUGGAAAGCGGCGGACGGGUGAGUAACGCGUAGGUAACCUGGCCCUGUACAAAGGGAUAGCCACUGGAAACGGUGAUUAAUACCUUAUGACACCGCAGCAUCACAUGGUGAAGCGGUCAAAGAUUUUAUCGGUACAGGAUGGACCUGCGUCGUAGAUUAGUUAGUUGGCGGGGUAACGGCCCACCAAGGCGACGAUCAGUAGCCGACCUGAGAGGGUGAUCGGCCACAUUGGAACUGAGACACGGUCCAAACUCCUACGGGGAGGCAGCAGGUGGGGAAUAUUGCACAAUGGGCGCAAGCCCUGAUGCAGCAACGCCGCGUGAACGAAGAAGGCCUUUGGGUCGUAAAGUUCUGUUCUGAGGGAAGAAGAAAGUGACGGUACCUCAGGAGAAAGCCCCGGCUAACUACGUGCCAGCCGCGGC
rnacentral:rRNA from 1 species